rnacentral:sRNA from 1 species
AUUACAUAUCUGAAUCACGAGGCAUUUAGGACGGGAAUGAAAAGAAGAUCGGGGGAGGUGUUUUAAAAACCAGGUUCUCCUCUUAGCUUGACCAUUCAGGAGCUGAGGGACCUGGGCAAGUCCCUCCACCUCUCUGGGCCUCUGCAUAUAAAGGGGCGUUUGGGCUAAAUGAUUUGUAAACCUCUGUUCUUCCAAGAUUCUCCCCUCUCAGGGAACUGAAAAGAUGAGAGUGUUUCUGUUUAACAGCACUACAAAAAGCCUAAUUGUGACAACAAGCGCCUCUGCCCUAGUGAGGAGGAAAGAUUUUUCAGAGCUUCAGCAAUCUGAUUUUUUUUUAAAGAUAAAACUGAUUUUCUCAAUCGACUCUCUUCAGUCUAACCCAAUAAAUACGCAUUGCAAUCAUUUUAAUUUUUGUAAGAUCUUGAUGGGGAAAACAGAGGGAAAGAACACCUAAAACACGAGAUUAUUCCACAACCAAGGACGAAAGAGAAAUAGCUUUGACUGAGGGCUUGUGCUUGCUAGACACUGCGCCUAAUAUGUACAUGGUCACCUUAAGUGUCACCUCAGCCUUCUGAGAUAAG